GGCUUUUAUGUGCACUACUGUAUAUUAAGCAAAAUUCACAAAGCUCACUACAUUUGUUGAAACUAUCACACAUUUCAAAGUCUACAUUUUUUAAAAAAAAAAUACCACGCAUUCAUACACCAAAGCCUCACUUUGGUUUAUAUACAUUUCAGGAAACAAGCUUUCAAGUAUUGCUGUAAUACCCAACGGUUCAGGUCCGGCAUUCAGUCUGACAAGCAAACCAUGUUCCUGCUUUCUCGUAUGCAGAUAGUUGGCACACGUUGGAUAAAAACUGACAAGUAGGACGAAAGUUGAAUGGAAGUAUAUAUUAUUAGCCUAAAAUAAGAGAAAAAUAUAGCUGGUUAAUCAACUUCCAGAAGAGACGGAAUAAUUAGGACCGCAGUCCAGUGGCAGCAGCCUGUGGCCAUUUUCCAGCGCAGCCGGGCAGCAUUUCCUGACCCACACGACGCGCGCGCGACGCUCCAGCCCACACGCCAGGUCAGCGCAAGUAAACGGUCGGCCAGGCCACAUCGGCACGGCGCCAGCCAGUGGUCGCGCCACGUCAGCUAGCUUCGGGCGGAUGCGCCCCACGCGGGACAUGCCAGAGCCAGCCAGCGGAAUGCCAGGCGAGAGGCGACGACGACCUCUUCUUCUGUCCCGUGGGCGGCCGCUGCCGGCGCGGCGACGCUGGCGUGCAAUUGGUAGCAGCUUUCGCCGUACGUGGCUGCCGACCUGCUGAUGGAGCUUGCUUGCUUCGAGUGAGUUUUUAUUGGGGCGUCGCUGAAUUUGAAUGUUUCUGCAGGAGGUUUUGACAGCGCCGGAGUUUGCAGCAUUUUCACACCUGAACGGCCGGCGUCGUUGAUCCUUU
rnacentral:lncRNA from 1 species